rnacentral:tRNA from 2 species
UGGAUGGGUGCUGGGACACAAGCGGGGCUGUAACCCCUGCGUCGCGACGCGGCUUGCUCGGUUCGAUUCCGAGACGUCCAACCA